rnacentral:rRNA from 1 species
AUGAACGCUGACAGAAUGCUUAACACAUGCAAGUCAACUUGAACUUCGGUUUGGGUGGCGGACGGGUGAGUAACGCGUAACGAACUUGCCUCACAGCUAGGGACAACAUUUGGAAACGAAUGCUAAUACCUGAUAUUAUGAUUAUAUGGCAUCGUAUAAUUAUGAAAGCUAUAUGCGCUGUGAGAGAGCUUUGCGUCCCAUUAGCUAGUUGGAGAGGUAACAGCUCACCAAGGCGAUGAUGGGUAGCCGGCCUGAGAGGGUGAUCGGCCACAAGGGGACUGAGACACGGCCCUUACUCCUACGGGAGGCAGCAGUGGGGAAUAUUGGACAAUGGACCGAGAGUCUGAUCCAGCAAUUCUGUGUGCACGAUGAAGUUUUUCGGAAUGUAAAGUGCUUUCAGUUGGGAAGAAAAAAAUGACGGUACCAACAGAAGAAGUGACGGCUAAAUACGUG